ACCACCGGAGGAGGAGGAGGAGGUUGAGAAACAGGAGGAGAGGCCGGAGCCUAAGAUCUGGCCAUGGACCGUCGCGUGGAUGCCUUGCGGGGAGGCAUCGAGUAAGGAUCCCGUGGAGGAAACAAGGAAUGGAUGUCGGAGGAGACGACGGCUCCGUUGAGCGCUCCUUUAAGAAUAAGGGUACUGCGGAGGUUCGCCCCCCUU
rnacentral:lncRNA from 1 species